UACGUAGGGUGCAAGCGUUGCCCGGAAUUAUUGGGCGUAAAGGGCUCGUAGGCGGUUUGUCACGUCGGGCGUGAAAACUCGGGGCUCAACCCCGAGCCUGCUUCCGAUACGGGCAGACUAGAGGUAUGCAGGGGAGAAUGGAAUUCCUGGUGUAGCGGUGAAAUGCGCAGAUAUCAGGAGGAACACCAAUAGCGAAGGCAGCUCGCUGGGACGGUACUGACGCUAAGGCGCGAAAGCGUGGGGAGCGAACAGG
rnacentral:rRNA from 1 species